UGGUGACGCUCGCGCUCUCACUGCCCGGUGGGGCUGGAGAUAAAAGCGCCGACCUCCUCUCCUCCCAGCAGUUCACACUGAUUUACUCCGCGUGCGUCGGUGCCGACGAAAAGACGAGGCGACACGUUUCGAUCCCAGCAAAGCACCGCGAAGCGCAGGAGCCGGUGUCUUAAAUCAUGGAACGGGAUUUGUUUUAGCUUCACUUCUCGUCCCUGCCCACCUCCGGUUUCGGUGCAAAACGGCCGCUGUCGGUAUUUGGGGCAUUGACCGGUGCGCCAAACUCCUCUCGCGCGUCACCUCGCGCGCGCUUCGCUCCCGGUUGUCUCCCAGGGGGCUCGUUUGUGCCGGUGAGAGGGAAAAAUCUGAGAACUCCCAACUUUCCCGUUGACCUCAGACCGUGGAAACAAAGAAAGUGGCAGCAGCCCUCUGACAGGUCACAUUCUAGUGAGUGGGAUGUUAGAGCUGUGGGAGCAGGCGUGACUGAAGUAGCAUGGUGAAACACCAACCCCUCCAGGUCUAUGAGCGCCAGCUGUGUUUGUCAUGUAUCACUGGGAUCUACGGUUGCCGAUGGAAACGCUAUCAACGUUCCCACGAUGACACCACCAAGUGGGAGCUGCUCUGGUCCUUCAUCCUGCUCUUUACAUUCUGCCUGCUGCUGGUCUGGUUCUACUUCUGGUGGGAGGCGCACAACGACUACAAUGAAUUCAACUGGUUGCUCUACAACCGCUCUGGGGAGUGGAGCGAUGGCACUGUUCCCAUCCUCGCCACUACUGCUGCCGGCUUCACCUACCUUUCAUUUUUAAUGGUUUUAGCACUUUGCCACAUUGCACUUGGGCAACAGUUGAAUUUGCACUGGCUCCACAAGAUAGGAGUGACUGCUGCCCUGCUCACCACCAUUGUUGGUGUGAUAUCUGUCAAUCAAACAUGGGCUCAGGAGUGGGACAUUGUCCACAUCUCCCUGCAGGCCACGGGUCCGUUCCUGCACAUAGGGGCUCUGGCUGCAGUCACAGCACUGUCCUGGAUUGUGGCUGGACAAGUUGCCCGCACAGAAAAAACAAAGUUCCAGGUCGUCGUAAUGAUGCUGUAUAUCUGUACGCUGCUGGGGCUCUACGUGGUGCCCAUCUACAUCACCUCUCCCUGCAUCAUGGACCCCACCGCCCUCAAACCACGACCCGAUGUCAUUGGCCAUCACGGAGCUCCUAUGCUUGCACCAGAGAACACACUGUGGUCCUUCCAGCGAGCUCUGCAGAUGAACGUCACUGGGUUCGAGACUGACGUGGCUGUCAGUUUGGACGGAGUGCCUUUCCUGAUGCAUGACCACACGCUGCGCAGGACCACAGACAUAGGGAAGGUCUUCCCAGGCAGACAGCUGGACAAAGCCUCGUCCUUCAACUGGACGGACCUGCAGCAGCUAAACGCGGGACAGUGGUUCCUGAAGAAUGACCCCUUCUGGACCGUGCACACGCUGUCCCCUCAUGAGAAGCACCUGAUCGCCAACCAGAGUGUGUGCAGCCUGGAGCAGCUCCUGAAGCUGGCCUCCUACCACAACAGCACGGUGGUCUUCAGGCUCAGCCGGCCUCCUCCAGAGCACCCCCGCUACCACAGCUGGAUUAAUGAUACACUGCAGGCCGUGCAGCAGUCUGGGAUUCCUCAGAGCCUGGUGAUGUGGACUCCAGACGAGCACAGGGCUCAGGUGAGGCAGCAGGCGCCCGGUCUGAUCCAGGCCUCGCUGGAGAAACAGAGUCCUCAAACGCUCCAACAGGACGGCAUCAGGAGGCUGCUGCUCCGAUACAACCAGGCGAACGCGCGGGAAGUCAGGGAGUACUCUGAGAAUGAAAUCCGCCUCACUCUCUACACCGUCAACGAGCCCUGGCUGUACUCGGUGCUCUGGUGCAGUGGGGUGUCUUCAGUCUCGUCCGAGGCCCCACACAUACUGAAAAAGGUGCCUUACCCCAUCUGGCUGAUGAGUCCGGAUGAAUACUGCCUGAUGUGGGUGUCUGCAGACCUCAUCUCCUUUGCUGUAGUCAUAGGAAUAUUCAUUUUCCAGAGCUAUCACAUGAUCAGGUAUCGGAUGAGCGGCAUGCGCAGCUACAACCCUGAGCAGAUUAUGCUGAGCGCAGCAGUCAGGAGGUCCAGUCGAGACCUCAACGUCAUGAAGGAGAAACUUAUCUUUUCUGGUCAACCCCAGUAGCCGCCUACCUCCUGCAUCCUUCGUGUGUGAUGUGCAUCUCCUCCUCUUCAUCCUACCUCCUCUCCAUCUACUCCGUCAGCAGUGACUCCUUCCUCUAGCCCAUGCAUCUGUCCCAUCACUGCCACCUCUGUCUAAUUCCCCUUUCCCCCAUUCACCCAUCCACUCGUGCACCAAACCUCCCCUGAAUUCCUCACAAUGGAGAUAACCUCCGAUGUAGGGAAACUCACAGACAUCCCAGUCUGCCCAAACAGGCAAGCUGUAGUACUGGGGGUCAGAGAGGUGAGGAAUGGAGUGGGCAGUGCUGAGGAGUUUUACGUGGACAAUGGCUACGACUACUACACCAAUCAGGCCAUCAGCCAGUGACCUGGCCUGUGUGAACCUGCUGAAGUGUGAUGGAGACGGCAACACUGACACCACCAUCCCUGUUUCAGAGCGAAGUCCCCUCCGCCGUCAUGCUACAACUAACAGACUGAUGGAGAAACAGCCACCCGGUUGCUUUGUAUAUAGCAUGUAAAUACAUUUUGUUUUUGCUCGUCAGACGUUGUGUGUAUGAAACGGGACUGCACGCACUUUUUGUUGAUGGACAACUGUGGGUGACUGAGUGGCGUCACCGAGUUCCCGACCUGCUUCUUUUUAAACUCGAGUGUCCAGAGCCUUUACAAAUUUCACUAAGUUUAUUUUAAACACUGUAAGUUUAUAUUCUUAGCUGAAGCAUUUUUUUUUUUUUUUUUUUACAAGACUUUAUUGCAGUAUAAGGCAAAAAGUCGAUGGCUCGUUACACUCCUGCCUUCAGUGUCUGCGCACUACUGUGCUGCUGUUCAUAAAAGUAAUAAUAUUUAUACUUUAAAGAAAAAAAACACAAGCUGUUUACAAAAGUCCUGCCUUGUCCUCCAGGUGAAAAAUUCACAUAGUCUAUGUAAAUAACUACUUUGAGGACGCUGAAGGCCCUCCCCCUCUACUUCUGACCAAUGAGCUAGUAGCUUGUGAGCUGUGCUCCCAGUGUAACAAGAACCAGUGAAAACGGAUUUUUUAAUGUGAUCUUUUUAAUGUGAAUGCAUUUGGAUAGUUUCUUUUUAAAUGUAUGGUGUACUGAGGGUAUUCUGGCUGGGUAUGCAUCGUUACCCCAUGUGCAGUGCUUUGUGGAUUAUUAUUGUACGUAACAGGAGAAUCAAUGUGAAUCAUGCUCCAGUGAACGAAGACAAGAACAAUGUGAGGUUUGAUAGUCACAGUAGCAGCAACCUGGUUGUGACAGAAGUUGAUUCACUUCCUAAACGUGACUUCAGUUUGCUAUUUUAGUGUCAGCAAGCAAGACGUGUUAAAUUGUGGUUUGUUUCUUGUGCAAAACUAAAGGCUGUAAAGGUAAACGAAGUGGACGCUGAAUGUGAAUGCUCCAGAAUCACUGAAGGGACACUACAGGUCACAACAGGUGGCACAAGUUCAGAAGGAUGUCGCCAUUUGUGUGUGUGGGGUUUUUGUGUAUUAAUGUGCCUCAGAAAUAAACAUUACAAUCU